CCCCCACACCCGCGGCCUUCCACCACCAGCGACCCACUGCGGCCUUCCACCGUCGGCUACUUUCGGCGUCAGGGGUUGGGGAGGCGGAUUCGGGGGCGGGCGAGGCGGCAGGGGUCGCCGGUGACGAUGAGGAAGGCAGGCGUAAUUUUCCCCCUGACCCCUGCGAACCCUAGCAGCCGCACCAAUGCCACCCCGCCGCCAGGCGCCAGCCAUCGGGUCGCUUCCCUGCGCCUCCUCGCCUCCCUCUGCUCCAGGCCUCCCUCUCUCGCGCUGCUAGGAGCUGCUCCUGGUGUCUAGCAGCUGCCUUCCCCUCACUCAUCGCAUCAAUCUCCUGCUCCCUCUCUCUCCAACAUCCCCCGCUGUCCUCUCGCAUCACACACAGGCGGUGGCUGUACAUAUCUGGUCGGGUGUGGCGUGUGUGGCAUCUGUGAUGUGCUUCGGCCGACCGGUUGUCCAUGCAUAGGAAGUGAAUGGUUGCAGGCAGAGGAAGCUGUUGGCCGUUGUCAGAGGAGGAUUAGGAUAGUUCCCUUCAUCUUUGUCAGAAAAUGAUAGUUCCCUUGAUUUGUUUUGUUCCGAAUUAGUACAAAAGUGCAAUGAUAUUUGUUUUGUGCCGCAGGAGCUUCAAGACAGCAGGGACCAAUUGCAACCUUCAUUUAUCUGUUCUGUGAACCAAUUUGUGAUGGCUUCUAAAUGCACUUGGCUGGAACAGAGCAAUUUUUUGGUAGUCUUCAGCCGGGAGAAGAUGGGUGCAGAGAAGAGUGAAACGGGCUCAGUCAGUUUCAGGAUAUGCCUUACAAGCCAUCCAUGUGAGAUAUCCAAGGGGUUCAAGACGGAUUGAAAAGGAGCUGGAGUAGGUGGUCGAUUGAGGAAGGAGCUGGAGCAGAGGUGGAAUCGAGGCUGCCCCUACGUGCGCUAAGAAGCUGCCAGAAAUUAUGAGGCGCCUGCCAUCCGGACACUGCUGCGCUUUCUCCAUCUCUCAAGAUAAUUUUCUUCAGUUCAUCGAACUACGUGCUGAAACAUGUGUAUUGUUUCUCAAUAUAUCGGGCAUCAACCCACCUCCCAUGAGAUCUCUGAAUUUUCGACGCAUAUUACAUUUGCUGAAUUAUUUCCUCCAGAUAACUAUGCUUGGAUUCACAAAUGCGCGCAAUGCUUUCAAGUAGAGGUUAGUUCUACUUAAGCUGUGCUAUUCCACUUUCAAGUUUUUGGUCCUAGAAGUGUAAUACUUGGUAGGUUAGCUGUAGAAGCAGAAUGUAUAUGGCCUGAAUUUAUAUUUCAGAGUGUAUAAUCUGAUUCAGAGUAUUUUGACCCCUUGUGUUCUGAAAC